UACGGAGGGUGCAAGCGUUAUCCGGAUUCACUGGGUUUAAAGGGUGCGUAGGUGGGCAGGUAAGUCAGUGGUGAAAUCUCCGAGCUUAACUCGGAAACUGCCGUUGAUACUAUCUGUCUUGAAUAUAGUGGAGGUGAGCGGAAUAUGUCAUGUAGCGGUGAAAUGCUUAGAUAUGACAUAGAACACCCAUUGCGAAGGCAGCUCGCUACACUAUCAUUGACACUGAGGCACGAAAGCGUGGGGAUCAAACAGG
rnacentral:rRNA from 1 species